rnacentral:lncRNA from 1 species
GACCAAUGUGGCACAAACUAGUGAUUGUGUUGAUGAAGAGAAGAUCGGGGAGCCUGGUGUUUACCCUACUUCCAGCAUUGAUACCAUGGGCAGCAUAGGCGAUGCUGAAGACAAGAAGCCGAGUGAAGAAACUACAGCAGAUCCUAGACCUGUUGAAAACACCACAGCACAAGGCACAGAGGAUGCAGAAAACAGCAAGCAGAUUGAAAACACUACCAGCAUAGGUGAUGCUGAAGACAAGAAACCGAGUGAAGAAACUACAGCAGAUCCUAGACCCGUUGAAAAUACCACAACACAAGGCACAGAGAAUGCAGAAAGUAGCAAGCAGAAUGAAAACACUACUAGCAUAGGCGAUGCUGAAGACAAGAAGCAGGCUGAAGAAACUGCUGCAGAUUCUUCCAUUGAGAACUCCACAACACAAGGC